AGCUUUGUGCAGUGGCAGUAUUGUAGCCAAUGAGGUUUAUCCAAGGCGCAAUUAUUGCUAAUUGAAAGAAAAAUUGUCAUCUUGAAGCAUCAUCUUCUCUUAUUCUAUGCAACAACAACAAACCAUUUCUUGUGUGAUGAAAAGUGGAUUUUGUACAACAACCAGUGACAACCAGCUCAGUGGUU
rnacentral:snRNA from 1 species